UACGAAGGGGGCUAGCGUUGCUCGGAAUCACUGGGCGUAAAGGGCGCGUAGGCGGCGUUUUAAGUCGGGGGUGAAAGCCUGUGGCUCAACCACAGAAUGGCCUCGAUACUGGGACGUUGAGUAUGGUAGAAGUUGGUGGAACUGCGAGUGUAGAGGUGAAAAUUCGUAGAUAUUCGCAAGAACACCGGUGGCGAAGGCGGCCAAACUGGAC
rnacentral:rRNA from 1 species